rnacentral:misc_RNA from 1 species
AAACUGCGAUAAGUAGUGUGAAUUGCAGACCUGCUUGUGACUCAUCGAAAUUUUGAACGCACUGCGCCCUUGGGCAACCUUGGGCACAUCAGGUUGAGUGACACUCACACACAUUGCAAACCAAUCACCCUCUUGUGGGGGUUGAUCUCUUGGUUGUGGCAGAAGUUGAGGCUUGUAGCUUCUCCAAGUGGGGAAUCUACUUCCUUUCAAAAUUACAAAACAUCUUGGGGUCUUGUUUAUGCCUGAUGGAUGAAGGUCCAGCAAGGAGGAAAUUGCCAGUUCCAACUUCUGGUCUUGUAGUUCAGAUGGUGUUUACAAUCUUUUCUCCAAAUGUGCUGCGAAGCAUACCCCUCUGCAUGCUGGGGCAAUCUCAUGUUACCAAACGUGUCCUCAACUCUGG